UACGGGGGGGGGCAAGCGUUGUCCGGAAUUACUGGGCGUAAAGAGCUCGUAGGCGGUCUGUCGCGUCGGCUGUGAAAACUCGGGGCUCAACUCCGAGCCUGCAGUCGAUACGGGCAGACUAGAGUGCUGUAGGGGAGACUGGAAUUCCUGGUGUAGCGGUGAAAUGCGCAGAUAUCAGGAGGAACACCGGUGGCGAAGGCGGAUCUCUGGGCCUUACCUGACGCUGAGGCGCGAAAGCCUAGGGGAGCGAACGG
rnacentral:rRNA from 1 species